rnacentral:rRNA from 1 species
GAUGAACGCUCGCUACAGGCUUAACACAUGCAAGUCGAGGGGAAACGAUGAGAGAGCUUGCUCUCUUAGGCGUCGACCGGCGCACGGGUGAGUAACGCGUAUCCAACCUACCCAUUACAGGGGGAUAACCUUGCGAAAGUAAGACUAAUACCCCAUGGCAUUUUAUGGUGGCAUCAUUAUAGGAUUAAAGAUUUAUUGGUAAUGGAUGGGGAUGCGUCUGAUUAGCUUGUUGGCGGGGUAACGGCCCACCAAGGCAACGAUCAGUAGGGGUUCUGAGAGGAAGGUCCCCCACAUUGGAACUGAGACACGGUCCAAACUCCUACGGGAGGCAGCAGUGAGGAAUAUUGGUCAAUGGGCGAGAGCUUGAACCAGCCAAGUAGCGUGCAGGAUGACGGCCCUAUGGGUUGUAAACUGCUUUUAUAGGGGAAUAAAGUGAGCUACGUGUAGUUUAUUGCAUGUACCCUAUGAACAAGGACCGGCUAAUUCCGUG